rnacentral:rRNA from 1 species
UACGAAGGGAGCUAGCGUUGUUCGGAAUCACUGGGCGUAAAGCGUGCGUAGGCGGCUUCUCAAGUCAGGGGUGAAAUCCCACAGCUUAACUGUGGAACUGCCUUUGAAACUGAGAGGCUAGAAUGUGAGAGGGGAGUGGCGGGAAUUCCGUAAUGUAGAGGUGAAAUUCGUAGAUAUUAGGAGGAACACCCGUGGCGAAAGCG